rnacentral:misc_RNA from 1 species
AAGUCGUAACAAGGUUUCCGUAGGUGAACCUGCGGAAGGAUCAUUAACACUUUCAUUUUAUUGAAAAUUCAUUUUUCAAUAAUUUACUUACCCACAUUUUUGGAUGAAUUAUUUCUUUUUUUAUUCUUUUUUAAAAUUUUAUACCCAAAUACCAUAUUAUUUCUAACAUUUAUACACAAAAAGUUUAAGAAAAACAUAAAAAACAACUCUUAACAACGGAUAUCUAGGCUCUC